ensembl:lncRNA
CCCAGCUGAGAUCUAUGAGGCAUUUAAAGUCUGCCAUGCUUUAUUGGUAAGGCAGGUCAAUCAACAUGUAAUUAAUUUUAAUUAGCACUUCGUUAAACUCUUCACAUGCAGCCAGCUGUUAGCUCCACCAACAGCAGGUGAUAAAAAGCCUGGUGGAUCCUGGCCCUAUUGUGGGGUAAUGAUUUUUCUCAUUAGCUGUAACAGGAAGAACAACUCUGGCUGUUGCAGCAGGGAUUCAUCUGGCUGAUGGUGAGCACACCUGAAAAGACUCCGGGGAAGUGGAUCAAAACGAAGAGAAAGAGCAAGUGAAAGACUUUCUUGUUGCCGAACCACUGCCCUGUGUUGUGCGUGCUCCCUUCUGAAUGUGCUCAGGCUGCUCUCUGAUGAUGGAAGGCUCUGUUUUAAAUGCAGAGCACAGGACGGCAACUUAGGAAGAAGUUCUGCACUGACUGAAGAUUAUCUAUAUGACUAAACUCUUCUUUUCUUUGUCAAGGUGCAAGAAUAACCCUCCUUCACCAGAGCUCCACACCUG